UUCUUCGUUGCAUGGCACUCAUCAAGACCAAUAGGAUGAGGACCGUGCAUGCUGCACUUUGCAUUAUGCUUGUGAUAAUGUCUUCAACACUGUCAUCUUGUGAGGAAGAUGAGAAAGUAUGUUUCCAAUGUGAAAAAUGCAGUUUCCUGCUUGCCAAGCUCAAAUGCUUUCUGGAGGCCAAAAGACAAGGCAAAGUUUGCGUCAGCGCCACCUGUAACACACCUACCGAGUGCGGAUGCGUCUUUCUUAAGAGAUAACAUCCAGCCCUUAUCACUGGUGUUGGUAAGGCUGCUGGGGAGAACGAUAAUAGAUUCCUUUCAUGAAUGAAGCCGGUAUAUAGUUAUAAUACUCUUCCAUGUAAUGCUUCCAUGAACUGUGUUUCGAUAUAAUUAAACAUCUAUCUGUCCCCAAUUAAAGGUUUUCAUCGUAUA